GUAGGGAAUAUUGGGCAAUGGAUGCAAGUCUGACCCAGCCAUCCCGCGUGCCGGAAGAAGGCCCUCAGGGUUGUAAACGGCUUUUGACGGUGAAGAACCGACAGGAUGCGUCCUGUUUUGACGGUAGCCGUUGAAUAAGCACCGGCUAACUCCGUGCCAGCAGCCGAGGUAAUCCGGAGGGUGCGAGCGUUGUCCGGAUUUAUUGGGUUUAAAGGGUGCGUAGGCUGGAAGGUCAGUCAGCGGUGAACAGCUAUCGCUUAACGAUAGUCUUGCCGCAGAUACUUCCGUUCUGGGAUGAGGAGGAUGCCACUGGAACGGAUGGUGUAGCGGUGAAAUGCAUAGAUAUCAUCCAGAACACCGAUUGCGAAGGCAGGUGGCUGUACCUUAAUCGACGCUGAUGCACGAAAGCAUGGUGAGCAAACAGGAUUAGAUACCCUUGUAGUCC
rnacentral:rRNA from 1 species